rnacentral:rRNA from 1 species
CUGAUGGCGAGUGGCGAACGGGUGAGUAACAUAUCGGAACAUUUCCAGUAGCGGGGGAUAACCUGUCGAAAGAUAGGCUAAUACCGCAUACGACCUACGGGUGAAAGCGGGGGAUCGCAAGACCUCGCACUAUAGGAGUGGCCGAUGUCGGAUUAGCUAGUUGGCGGGGUAAUAGCCCACCAAGGCGACGAUCCGUAGCUGGUCUGAGAGGAUGAUCAGCCACACUGGGACUGAGACACGGCCCAGACUCC